rnacentral:rRNA from 1 species
GAUGAACGCUGGCGGCGUGCCUAAUACAUGCAAGUCGAGCGAACAGAUAAGGAGCUUGCUCCUUUGACGUUAGCGGCGGACGGGUGAGUAACACGUGGGUAACCUACCUAUAAGACUGGGAUAACUUCGGGAAACCGGAGCUACUACCGGCUCAUAUUUCGAACCGCAUGGUUCGAUAGUGAAAGAUGGUUUUGCUAUCACUUAUAGAUGGACCCGCGCCGUAUUAGCUAGUUGGUAAGGUAACGGCUUACCAAGGCGACGAUACGUAGCCGACCUGAGAGGGUGAUCGGCCACACUGGAACUGAGACACGGUCCAGACUCCUACGGGAGGCAGCAGUAGGGAAUCUUCCGCAAUGGGCGAAAGCCUGACGGAGCAACGCCGCGUGAGUGAUGAAGGUCUUCGGAUCGUAAAACUCUGUUAUUAGGGAAGAACAUACGUGUAAGUAACUGUGCACGUCUUGACGGUACCUAAUCAGAAAGCCACGGCUAACUACGUG